CAGCAGCCACGGGAAUACGAAGGGGGCUAGCGUUGUUCGGAAUUACUGGGCGUAAAGCGCACGCAGGCGGCUCGAUAAAUUAGAAGUGAAAGCCUUGGGCUUAACCUGAGAAUUGCUUUUAAGACUGUCGAGCUAGAAUCCAGAAGAGGGUAGUGGAAUUCCGAGUGUAGAGGUGAAAUUCGUAGAUAUUCGCAAGAACACCAGUGGCGAAGGCGGCUCACUGGCCCGGUACUGACGCUGAGGCGCGAAAGCGUGGGGAGCAAACAGGAUUAGAUACCCCAGUAGUCCCUGUCUCUUAUAC
rnacentral:rRNA from 1 species